UACGAAGGGGGCUAGCGUUGCUCGGAAUCACUGGGCGUAAAGGGUGCGUAGGCUGGUCUUUAAGUCAGGGGUGAAAUCCUGGAGCUCAACUCCAGAACUGCCUUUGAUACUGAAGAUCUUGAGUUCGGGAGAGGUGAGUGGAACUGCGAGUGUAGAGGUGAAAUUCGUAGAUAUCGGAAAGGAACACCAGUGGCGAAAGCGGCUUCCUGGUCCAGCAUCGACGUUCAGGCACGAAAGCGUGGGGGAGCAAACAGG
rnacentral:rRNA from 1 species